CUGAGAGGAUGACCAGCCACACUGGAACUGAGACACGGUCCAGACUCCUACGGGAGGCAGCAGUGGGGAAUAUUGCACAAUGGGCGCAAGCCUGAUGCAGCCAUGCCGCGUGUAUGAAGAAGGCCUUCGGGUUGUAAAGUACUUUCAGCGGGGAGGAAGGGAGUAAAGUUAAUACCUUUGCUCAUUGACGUUACCCGCAGAAGAAGCACCGGCUAACUCCGUGCCAGCAGCCGCGGUAAUACGGAGGGUGCAAGCGUUAAUCGGAAUUAC
rnacentral:rRNA from 1 species